rnacentral:rRNA from 1 species
UACGUAGGGGGCAAGCGUUGUCCGGAUUUACUGGGCGUAAAGAGCGCAUAGGCGGAACGUUAAGCGGGGCCGGAAAGCCCCCGGCUCAACCGGGGAAGGGGCCGCGAACUGGCGUUCUUGAGGGGGGAGAGGAGAGCGGAAUUCCUGGUGUAGCGGUGAAAUGCGUAGAGAUCAGGAGGAACACCCAUGGCGAAGGCAGCUCUCUGGCCUCCACCUGACGCUGAGGCGCGAAAGCGUGGGGAGCGAACGGG